rnacentral:rRNA from 1 species
UACGUAGGGUGCGAGCGUUUGUCCGGAAUUAUUGGGCGUAAAGGGCUCGUAGGCGGUCUGUCACGUCGGGAGUGAAAACUCAGGGCUUAACCCUGAGCCUGCUUCCGAUACGGGCAGACUAGAGGUAUGCAGGGGAGAACGGAAUUCCUGGUGUAGCGGUGAAAUGCGCAGAUAUCGGGAGGAACACCGGUGGCGAAGGCGGUUCUCUGGGCCUUACCUGACGCUGAGGAGCGAAAGCGUGGGGAGCGAACAGG